GAAAUUGAAAAUUUGAAAUGGAAGCACUAGCCUGAUGUUUUUCGCAGAAUCUCAAUCAGAGAUAUAUUUGCCACAGCUGUAUUUCGCUGAUUUUCCCGUGUCAUACUUUUUGUCCUCAACAUUUCGUUAUUGUAGUAUUGUUUUCAAAGUAUUAAGUUGUACAGAGUCAAUUGUAUUCAUUGGAUGCACAAAGAGAAAAGAACGCUGGUAAGUAGAUCAAGCGUCAUUUAGGCUAGACUGCAAUUUAGCGGCCGUGAAUGUGAGGGUUUUACUAUUUAUACUGUAAGAUAUCAUGACAGUAGACACCGGGGUUACAUGGAUAUUCCGGUGAUUCCAUACGGAAAGUAAAUGGAACAAGCAUAUUUCGACUGCCCAACCGGAAAUUUUCCGGAAUGAACGGUUUGUUUGAAAAGGUUGUCCUCUCAUACCGAUUGGAACGUUUCAACCGGUAAAUUUUGUUCCAUUUACAUCUUUUUUAUUUUUUCACCAGUUCCAGGCUCUUCUCGAUUUAACAAACUUGGAAUUAUAAAAUACUUCAGUGCCUUCCGGUCAGUCACUCGAAAUGGAAAGUGCAUAAUCCGAAUGGGAUUUUCUAUCCGAAAUUUUGCUUACCAUUAGCACAAUUUCAAACCGGAUGGGUUUUCCAUGUAAAUGGUAAACAACCCUGAUCACAGAGUAGAGACAUACAGAAGGUUGACUUCUUGGUAAUGGUUUUGCCUACAGGGCCUUUUGUAAGAAUUGUUCCUGGGGGGGGGGGGGCAUUUGAGGGGGAUAGCAAUGGCACGUGUGUGGCCAACAUACCAUACAUGAAUGGGGGGUCUGGGGGUGAACUCCCCCAGAAAAUUUUUGAAAUUUGAAGCACGGAAAUGCCAUUUCCUGCAUUCUGAGCAUCCAAAUUUGCUCCAAAAUUUAUGCUAACUAUACUUGUAUUUGAAAUAAAAGAAGGAAAAAAUGCACAAAAAGUAAAAAAGAAUAUUAACCGUAAUUUAUCAUUACUUAUUAGAGGGGGAUACUUUUUGAAAUUUGAGACCCGGAAAUACUAUUUCCUGCAUUCUGAGCAUCCAAAAAAUAAAAAAAAUUAUUAACAAUAAUUUAUCAUUACUUUGUGGUAGAAAAACAUAACAAUUUAAAUCGAUUUUGUUAAACAAGGACAAAGGAUAAAGUCCAAAACUUACCUUCCAUUUAUCUAUUUGUUAUUCUUCGCUGGUUUGUUUGUAUAAUUUUAGGAAAAAGGGAUUUUUCCUAGGGGGAGAGAAAUGUGAUUUCAUGGGGCACACAAGGGGGGACUGGGGGGCAUUUGCCCUGUUUGCCUAUGAUUUUGGCAUAACCGUUGCAAUGCUGUUGCC